CAAUAGCGUAUAUUAAAGUUGUUGCAGUUAAAAAGCUCGUAGUUGGAUUUCUGGUCGGAAGCUCCUGUCCUCUGAUGAGCGUACAAGUGCGUCCUACCAUCCUUCUGUUAACCUUUAAGGCUUUCGCGGCUUUCUAGGGGCUCAGAUAUUUUACCUUGAGAAAAUUAGAGUGUUUCAGGCAGGCUAGCGCCGGAAUACAUUAGCAUGGAAUAAUGGAAUAGGACUUUUGCCUCUUCUGUUGGUCAUGAGGCUCGAGUAAUGAUUAAUAGGGAUAGUUGGGGGCAUUAGUACUUAACUGUCAGAGGUGAAAUUCUCGGAUUUGUUAAAGACUAACUUAUGCGAAAGCAUUUGCCAAGGAUGUUUUCAUUNA
rnacentral:rRNA from 1 species